UACUCCCUCCUUCUCUCAUCUGCAGCUAGCCUCUGUCUCUGCUCAGCUAAUAAGACAACAAAAUAUCCUCUCCUCACCAUUUGAAUACACAGUCUUGAAUUCCCACAGUUUUCACAGCCCUCUUUCCUCGCCGUUUGAAGAAGCUGGAGGCAUCUGCCUCUGGCAUGAAGAUCUUCCUUAGUGC